rnacentral:misc_RNA from 1 species
CAAACGGCUCGUCUGAAAUGCCUGAGUGUACCCUGCCUAUGCGCGGCGUAUUCGGUGUGAUAAAUCUUCACCGGAGUCUCGACCUUCGGGUCGGCGCUGGCUUUGGUUUCAAGGCUCUCUAUGCUUUCCAACCGUCCCUGAAAAGGACAAUACCCUGACAAUUUGACCUCAAAUCGGGUGGGACUACCCGCUGAACUUAA